GGGAGCACAGACCUCUGAAUGGAAGGAAGCUCCGAGACGGGUGCUCUGCCCACCAACACCCUCGUCACCUCUUUCCACGUUUCCAUAGCAACGGUGGGGAGAGAGAUCAACAUCUGCCCUCUCUACUAGAUUCCUCUGCAAGGCAGGGACCCUAUGCCUGCUGGACUCUGUUCGGGAAAUAAUCUGUUAAAGAAACAUCUGCAUUGUCUCCCAAGCCCUGUGGAACCAUCCUUGCAGGCCAGACUGUUUCUUCUUACAGCUGACCCCUAAUGUGGGCUUUCAAAUGAUUUGAUAAUGAACUGAGACUGUGACCCCGGCCUCAUCCCAGCCCCCACAGGAAGUGCAGCACAAUGUUGCCUGCUGCCUUGAAAUCUAACAAAGGCCCAAAGCUGAAGAGUGGAAAGUCUUUCAUGCCC